rnacentral:rRNA from 1 species
AUACGUAGGUGGCAAGCGUUAUCCGGAUUUACUGGGCGUAAAGGGCGUGUAGGCGGUCUUGCAAGUCAGAAGUGAAAUUCCUGAGCUCAACUCGGGCGCUGCUUCUGAAACUGCAGGACUUGAGUGCUGGAGGGGAUAGCGGAAUUCCUAGUGGAGCGGUAAAAUGCGCAGAUAUUAGGAAGAACACCGGUGGCGAAGGCGGAUUCCUGGACAGUAAAUGACGCGGAGGCGCGCAAGCGUGGGGAGCAAACAGGCUUAGAUCCCCUGGUAGUCCACGCCGUAAACGAUGAAUACUCGGUGUAGGGGGUAUCGACUCCCUCUGUGCCGCAGUUAACACAAUAAGUAUUCCGCCUGGGGAGUACGGCCGCAAGGUUGAAACUCAAAGGAAUUGACGGGG